CUUUUAACAGGAACUAACAAAAUACAUUCGAGGAGAGGAAACCAAUUCUGAUUCUGUGAUACAAUUUCUGCAGAACUUUGUGAGAUAUGGGCUGGAACGGAUUGAAUUAAGGGACGAAUUAUAUUGCCAGAUAGUUCGUCAGACUCAUAGGAACCCAGAUACUGAUGCUUUGAUAAAGGCCUGGGGUGUGAUGAGUUUUUGUUCUGCUGCUUUCUCAGCCAGCAAAACAUUACAUAAGUAUUUAGUCUCAUAUGUAAAGAAACAUAUUGGUGAUGAAACAGUUGGUAAAUAUGCAAAAAUUUGUUACUC